rnacentral:rRNA from 1 species
AUUGAACGCUGGCGGCAGGCCUAACACAUGCAAGUCGAACGAGUGGCGGACGGGUGAGUAAUGCCUGGGAAUCUAGCUUAUGGAGGGGGAUAACUACGGGAAACUGUAGCUAAUACCGCGUACCAUAGGAUGAGCCCAAAUGGGAUUAGGUAGUUGGUGGGGUAAAGGCUCACCAAGCCGACGAUCCCUAGCUGGUCUGAGAGGAUGACCAGCCACACUGGGACUGGGACACGGCCCAGACUCCUACGGGAGGCAGCAGUGGGGAAUAUUGCACAAUUGGGGCAACCCUGAUGCAGCCAUGCCGCGUGAAUGAAGAAGGCCUUCGGGUUGUAAAGUACUUUCAGUGGGGAGGCGUUAACGACAGAAGAAGCACCGGCUAACUCCGUGCCAGCAGCCGCGGUAAUUC